UUGACCUCGAAUCAGGUAGGAAUACCCGCUGAACUUAAGCAUAUCAAUAAGCGGAGGAAAAGAAACCAACAGGGAUUGCCCCAGUAACGGCGAGUGAAGCGGCAACAGCUCAAAUUUGAAAUCUGGCUCUCGGGCCCGAGUUGUAAUUUGUAGAGGAUGCUUUUGGUGAGGUGCCUUCCGAGUUCCCUGGAACGGGACGCCAUAGAGGGUGAGAGCCCCGUCUGGUUGGACACCGAUCCUCUGUAAAGCUCCUUCGACGAGUCGAGUAGUUUGGGAAUGCUGCUCUAAAUGGGAGGUAUAUGUCUUCUAAAGCUAAAUACCGGCCAGAGACCGAUAGCGCACAAGUAGAGUGAUCGAAAGAUGAAAAGAACUUUGAAAAGAGAGUUAAACAGUACGUGAAAUUGUUGAAAGGGAAGCGCUUGUGACCAGACUUGGGCUUGGUUGAUCAUCCGGGGUUCUCCCCGGUGCACUCUUCCGGCUCAGGCCAGCAUCAGUUCGCCCUGGGGGAUAAAGGCUUCGGGAAUGUGGCUCUCUCCGGGGAGUGUUAUAGCCCGCUGCGUAAUACCCUGUGGCGGACUGAGGUUCGCGCAU
rnacentral:rRNA from 2 species